rnacentral:piRNA from 1 species
UGACUGUUCAGAUCACCAAUAAAC